rnacentral:rRNA from 1 species
AGGUAGUUGGUGGGGUAAAGGCUCACCAAGCCAACGAUCUGUACCUGGUCUGAGAGGACGACCAGCCACACUGGGACUGAGACACGGCCCAGACUCCUACGGGAGGCAGCAGUGGGGAAUUUUGGACAAUGGGCGCAAGCCUGAUCCAGCCAUGCCGCGUGCGGGAAGAAGGCCUUCGGGUUGUAAACCGCUUUUGUCAGGGAAGAAACGCUUCGGGAUAAUACCCUGGGGUAAUGACGGUACCUGAAGAAUAAGCACCGGCUAACUACGUGCCAGCAGCCGCGGUAAUACGUAGGGUGCAAGCGUUAAUCGGAAUUACUGGGCGUAAAGCGUGCGCAGGCGGCUAUGCAAGACAGAUGUGAAAUCCCCGGGCUCAACCUGGGAACUGCAUUUGUGACUGCAUAGCUAGAGUACGGUAGAGGGGGAUGGAAUUCCGCGUGUAGCAGUGAAAUGCGUAGAUAUGCGGAGGAACACCGAUGGCGAAGGCAAUCCCCUGGACCUGUACUGACGCUCAUGCACGAAAGCGUGGGGAGCAAACAGGAUUAGAUACCCUGGUAGUCCACGCCCUAAACGAUGUCAACUGGUUGUUGGGAGGGUUUCUUCUCAGUAACGUAGCUAACGCGUGAAGUUGACCGCCUGGGGAGUACGGCCGCAAGGUUAAAACUCAAAGGAAUUGACGGGGACCCGCACAAGCGGUGGAUGAUGUGGUUUAAUUCGACGCAACGCGUAAAACCUUACCUACCCUUGACAUGUCUGGAAUCCUGAAGAGAUUUGGGAGUGCUCGAAAGAGAACCAGAACACAGGUGCUGCAUGGCCGUCGUCAGCUCGUGUCGUGAGAUGUUGGGUUAAGUCCCGCAACGAGCGCAACCCUUGUCAUUAGUUGCUACGAAAGGGCACUCUAAUGAGACUGCCGGUGACAAACCGGAGGAAGGUGGGGAUGACGUCAGGUCAUCAUGGCCCUUAUGGGUAGGGCUACACACGUCAUACAAUGGACGGUACAGAGGGUCGCCAACCCGCGAGGGGGAGCCAAUCCCAGAAAACCGUUCGUAGUCCGGAUCGCAGUCUGCAACUCGACUGCGUGAAGUCGGAAUCGCUAGUAAUCGCGGAUCAGCUUGCCGCGGUGAAUACGUUCCCGGGUCUUGUACACACCGCCCGUCACACCAUGGGAGCGGGUUCUGCCAGAAGUAGUUAGCCUAACCGCAAGGAGGGCGAUUACCACGGCAGGGUUCGUGACUGGGGUGAAGUCGUAACAAGGUAGCCGUAUCGGAAGGUGCGGCUG